rnacentral:rRNA from 1 species
AUUGAACGCUGGCGGUAGGCCUAACACAUGCAAGUCGAACGCGAAAGUCCUUCGGGAUGAGUAGAGUGGCGGACGGGUGAGUAACGCGUAGGAAUCUAUCCUGUAGUGGGGGAUAACGUUUCGAAAGGAACGCUAAUACCGCAUACGCCCCAAGGGGGAAAGCGGGGGAUCUUCGGACCUCGUGCUAUAGGAGGAGCCUGCGUCGGAUUAGCUAGUUGGUGAGGUAAAGGCUCACCAAGGCGACGAUCCGUAGCUGGUCUGAGAGGAUGAUCAGCCACACCGGAACUGAGACACGGUCCGGACUCAUACGGGAGGCAGCAGUGGGGAAUAUUGCGCAAUGGGCGAAAGCCUGACGCAGCCAUACCGCGUGUGUGAAGAAGGCCUUCGGGUUGUAAAUCACUUUCAGUGGGGAGGAAAAGCUGGUGGCUAAUAUCCAUCGGCCGUGACGCUACCCACAGAAGAAGCACCGGCUAAUUCCGUGCCAGCAGCCGCGGUAAAAC